CUGUGCUCAUGUCAGAUGAGAAGCAACUCCACACAGAGAAGAGGAAGAAUGAGCAAGGACGUGUGAGGGAGAGACUGAAUCGCAAUCAUAUUUGGAGAACAUCUUUCAGGAGCUCUCAGGGCCACAACAACUGAGCGCUAUCUUGUUCCACCAAAGAAUUGCCAUGAGCAAGACUGCACACAAAAACCCAAUCUACAAAGGAACAAAACUGGGGUGCUCCACCAGCACACCACGCAUCCUCCGUGUCUUAGUUUACCCAUGAAGCAGGUUUCUAAAGGCUGGAAUCGUGCAAGCACUCAAAUAAGAGUUUUAAGUCAAGCUUGCAUGAGCAUUGCAUCUAGCAUUUGAACAUUGCUACAACAUUGUAGAACAAGACUUCAUAUGUUAUCAUUUGUAUUA